UGUUUUUUGUUUUUUUAAAGAUUUAUUUAUUUAUUAUAUAUAAGUACACUGUAGCUGUCUUCAGACACACCAGAAAAGGACAUCGGAUCCCAUUACCGAUGGUUGUAAGCCACCAUGUGGUUGCUGGGAAUUGAACUCAGGGCCUCUGGAAGAACAGUCAGUGCUCCUAACCACUGAGCCAUCUCUCCAGCCCUGUUUUUUGUUUUUUGUUUUUUGUUAUUUUUUUUUUUUUUUGAUGUUGGCUUUUAAUUUUGUGCCUCUGUCAACACAGUACAGCGAUCUCACAAAGGUGUGCUCCUUGUCUUACAGUGUCUGGCAGUGCGCCUGCUUGCCCUGCGAAAGAUGCACUCACACACUCAAAAUAAUAUUUUCCUUCAGGUUUCCUGGGGCGAGAGGUUCUGCAAUCUUCCAGUAAUUAUUUUAGAAAGUCAGCUCUGGGUUUGGGUUUUCUCUUAAAUCUUUCCAUGCCUGUGGCUCUAGACUCCUUUUUAGAGGUCUCUGUUAAGAAACUGGGCCAGGUUGGAGAGGCCAGUACCAUUAAUUACUCAGUGCGAGACGGUGUUGCUAUGAAAGGACCCCUCUCUGUACAGGUCCAAAGUCUCCUUCCACAGUUGUGAUCAGGGAAGAGAACUUAUGAGCAUUGGAUCACACAGUGUGAGCUGCUGAGGUAGCCUUUCAAACGGACACAUUUCUCUUGCUCACAAUCCGGGAAUAAUGAAGGUCUGUAGACGUAUAUAAUUAUUUAUGUAUAAUAAAUUAGCAAUUAUUUAGUCUAUUAUACAGAUUUUCCUGUUUCUUGUUGACCCUCCGUGAAAACUAGAGAAGUUGAAUAGCUAUAUAUAAGUUGAUUCUUCUUCUUCUUUUUUUUUUUUUUUUCCCUUUUUCUAUCUUACUAAUGAGUAAACGGAGGCUCUAUGUGGCUGGUCAGUUCACACGGUAGAAAAAGUACUGAAGUCUUUCCAGGCAACUUCUUCCAGGGUCCAGGCAUCUGAGCGUACACCAACUUCAUCCCGUGGCUGCCUCCCUCCCGGAUGUGUUUUGGGCGUGGCUGCUUACCCUUGUUAAGUUUACUUAGAAUGGCUGAGCGUAAGAACAGUAAGGUAAGGGCCAGGCAGGGAAGUAGUUAAUGAAAGUACCCAGGAGAAUGGGACUCUUUCACAGAGCCCUAUCAACCGUUGAUAAAUAGGCAAGCUCUACGUUUUCGUUGUUCUCACAUUUCCCGUAGUGAAGCACUACUGGGAACAGUUGCGUGAAAGAGCACUGCACUGUGUUUGGGGGUGGGGCGUAGAAGCAAGCAAUAGUUGAGAACUGCAGGCUGCGUCAUCGGCGGAGGGCGGUAAGGCGCAUGAGCAGCUUUGAAGGGGAUACACCGGAACUACUAUUACCGGUUCCAUGAUACCAAACCUUAAGACUAGAAUACUAGGAAGCGCUACGUAAGACAAUAACAUAGAACUGGAAGAAGUUGCUUGGAACACUACGGAUCCUCUGGAGCCAAAAUAUGGAGGACCUCUGACCAAAACAGCAGUUUCAGUGGACGGUGGGCUGUAAAUUCUUGGUAGGAGAAGACAGGUCUCCACGGAAUCGUUCCGAGGUCAGAUCUGUUGAGAUUGCAAGGAGAAGCUAUAUAAAUUACACCGCCACUUACAACAUUAUCUGGAGCUAAUCCAGAAAGUGGCAAAUGACCUUCAGCCAGCAGUUCUCAGACUGUGACCUACACCUCAGGACUUACUAGAAGUCCUGGUUCUCAACGGGACUCCUCACCACCACAUGGGAAACUCUGGUGACCGGCUCAGCACAGUUCAUUGUGACAACCACUCCACAGAAUAUUAGGUAACAAGAUGCUUCAGGAGAGUAUAGUCCUUCUGGCUAAAAUUCCCAAAACGGCAAAAUAAGUCACUGCCUGUCAUUUUCUGAGGAGGAGAGGAAGCAAAACCUGUUCUUAAUCACUGGGCAGCUGAGAGGAAGAGACAGGCAGAGGGAAGAUGGAUAAAGGAACACAGUUUCAAAAUUAGUCUGGGAUCAGAAAGACUGGACAUGAAGGUGCUGUCUGGGACCGAGGGAAAAUGACAACAAACAAUUCGACCUUGAACUUACUUCAAGAUCCUGUACCCAGCACUGCGUUAAAAGCUCUAUUUCGGCACUCACUCGGAUUAAAGCACUGCUCAAAACACAGCCUUGCCAACUUGGCUCCAGGGGAGAAGCAGCCACUGGAACAAUGCAGGCAAUUUAAUCGUGUUGCAGAGAGGAGGAAGCCCGAGGAAGCUCUACCGGAAUGGAAUGUAAUUCCCCAGUCCCAACAGGAAAAGUGAAAGUGGGGCUGAGGUGGACGAAAGGCAACAUCCAAAGUGGCAUGAAAAUUAACCACCCAACUCAAUGAAUUAUCCACAAGAUAAUGGGACGAAUGUUUGCGAGUUAGACCAAAGAGCAAAAGCACAAAAGAGAGAAAUAAUUCAGACCUGUACAAUGAAACCUUCUUACUUCGCUGUCUCUGUUCAGGAUAGCAAAAUCUCAAGUCUCUCUCUUUCCACUUAGGUUCAGGUUUUGAAACUUGGUUGCUCCCUGUGGAAUUGAAGCCUGUGUAGACCAUCGUGCAUAGCCGUAUUCCAAAUACUGUUACCACUCAAACUCCUAGUUAUUCAGUUUGACCUGAAAUUAAAGAACAGAAUCGUUACAUGCUUAUUCAAAAUCAGUUCCCACUAUUUUAUAGAGCUAAAAAAAACACCCUUCGGUAUAAGCCAAGCUAGAGUUCGUAAUCAAGAUUACCAGAAUAAAAAGGAAUAGUCAUGUGUCUGCUCCCAUACGUCUCAUUCUAAAUAUGUGUUUUGGGCCACAUAUAAUAAAAUGUUAAUAAUAAUAUAUUAAUAAUAAAAUGUUCAUUGUC